GCCUAUAAUACCAAAGGUAGGUAUCGUUGAUAUUAUCUAUCCUACGAUGUUUGUUCGAUGUAUACAUUACACCAACAGAUUGUGAUAGUAAGUAUGUCAUAUUUCAAUUAUCCUCAUAUGAUUUUAGUAUCAUUCAUAAUGAUAUCACAAAAAUCAUCUUUUAUUAACAAUUUAAAAUCAAGUUUGACCAAAAAACCUAU
rnacentral:lncRNA from 1 species